CACGGACCCAGCUCCAGGGAUUUGGGGUCCGUGAGCAGUGUGGACCUUUAGUAUUAUUAUUAUUAUUAUUAUUGUUGUUAUUGUAUUGGAUGUAUGUUUUCUGCACUGUGCUCUUGUGUUCCAUGCUGGUGGGUGUAUGUGUGCGGGUGUGGCUGGAGGACGAAGGACAGCCACCUGCAGGCCUGAUGGGUGUGGCCCUGCCAGCUGCCGGUCACGCCCAGGUUCUCACACACCUGCUUCUGAUCAGGCUCGUCGGGGGAGCUACAUAACAGAGCGAUGGGGCUUCCUCCGGCGCAGGAUCGUUGAGUUAGACUUCAUGAGGAGAGCGGAACACAGGACUGCAGGACGCACGGGGUGUGCGUAGGCACAGGGGCAGAGAGCACAGGAUAUCAGCACUUAGGGGAAGACACGUCACGGGAGUCAAGGGAGCACUCUGGAGAAUUAUUGUGUGGUGUACAUUUACCCCCACUGUAAAUAAAUGCACUGCUCAUUCCACUAAGUCCAGCGUUUGGGUCCUAUCUCCAUCAUUCCCCACGGUCUGCCUGCCAGACCUUGACAGAGACUGUCCGAGCCGGGGCUCGAACCUUCCGAUUACAAGGCGAACUCCCAACUCCUGAGCCACGAUUGCCCACAGUUAAUGUGUCGUCUUCUGUA